GGAGUGGAGCCUGCGGCUUAAUUUGACUCAACACGGGGAACCUCACCCGGCCCGGACACCGCGAGGAUUGACAGAUUGAGAGCUCUUUCUCGAUUCGGUGGGUGGUGGUGCAUGGCCGUUCUUAGUUGGUGGAGCGAUUUGUCUGGUUAAUUCCGAUAACGAACGAGACUCUAGCCGGUUAAGUAGCCCGAGCGGUUUUUGAUCUUUGCCGUUCAUCCCCGUUCGGCCUUGCGUCGUCCCCUUUUUUUUUCUUUCGUUUUCGGGGUCCGUCUCUGUCCGUUUUUUUCCGUUUUUCCCUUCCGUUGCCUGGCGAUCGUCCGUCGUCCCGUGUGUUUUCGAUUCGUUCGGAACGCGCGGGUGCCGACGGCUGUCGUUUGGGUUUCGAAGGGUUGGCGGAGGCGGCUGAACGGAUUUUCCGUGGCGAAGAGGAGCGGGGGGUAUACGCUCGGUCGUUUCGCGGGGUGAAAGCAUAACCGAAGGCCGCCGGCUUUUAAGGAAGCUUCUUAGAGGGACGAGCGGCGUUCAGCCGCCCGAGAUUGAGCGAUAACAGGUCUGUGAUGCCCUUAGAUGUCCGGGGCCGCACGCGCGCUACACUGAAGGGUUCAGCGUGCUAGUUUCUCCCGGGCCGUCAGGCUCGGGGAACCCGUUGAAACCCUUUCGUGCUAGGGACAGGGACUUGCAAUUGUGUCCCUCCAACGAGGAAUUCCCAGUAAGCGCGAGUCAUCAGCUCGCGUUGAUUACGUCCCUGCCCUUUGUACACACCGCCCGUCGCUACUACCGAUUGAACGAUUUAGUGAGGUCUUCGGACCGGUGGUCGUUCCGCGAUCGGGUCAGGACUGGGUCUCGCGCCCUUCCCUCCCCCGCGGGGUCGGCCGGCCGGGAAGAUGCCC
rnacentral:rRNA from 1 species